UUCGGAAUAACCUGCCGAAAGGCGGGCUAAUACUGGAUAGAGCGAUGGAAGUCAUAAUGACUUUUCGGGAAAGGGAGCUUGAUAAGAGCCCUCGCUUUAAGAUGAGCCUGCGUCUGAUUAGUUAGUUGGUGAGGUAACGGCUCACCAAGACGAUGAUCAGUAGCUGGUCUGAGAGGAUGAUCAGCCACACUGGAACUGAAACACGGUCCAG
rnacentral:rRNA from 1 species